UUUAUUUUUUUAAAAAAGAUUAAAAGUGCAAAUACAUCAAUAAUAAUUGGAAAUUAUACACAAGUUAACAUUCUCUCUCUGUCUCUAUCUGUAUGUGUGUUUGUGAGAGAGUGAGAGUGAGUGAGAGAGAGUGAACACUCUCUCUCUCACAUUGAAGGCAUGAUGCCACCAUAGGUUUGCAGAUAACUAUAUACAAUAUGCACACUGAAGGCAUGAUGCCACCGUAGGUUUGCAGAGAACUAUAUACAAUAUGCACACUGAAGGCAUGAUGCCACCAUAGGUUUGCAGAUAACUAUAUACAAUAUGCACACUGAAGGCAUGAUGCCACCAUUGGUUUGCAGAGAACUACAUACAAUAUGCACACUGAAGCUGCUUCAGGAUUCUCAUAGAUCAGAGACAGUUCCGUCUUGAGCUUUGCCUUGUUCAGCGUGGGAUAUGCCUUCACAGUGGCAUUCAGAGCAUCAGCAGGAAAUGAAUGGCAGUACCUUUGAAACAUAUUCCUUGUACUAAGGUAGCACUCAGAUGGCCAAUGAAAGAGAACCUCGCUUUGGUGUGAGCCAGGAUGGUGUCGCAGAACUGUUCAGACAGCCUCUGCUUCGCCUCUUCUGUCAAAGCCGUCCUUGGUCUCUUGGUCGGUUCCUGAUGGCUCUUGCAGCUGGUCAGAG
ensembl:lncRNA